rnacentral:lncRNA from 1 species
AUGAUGCCAACACCGUUUCUUGUUCUAUUUGUGCUCGAAUACCAAAGUUUAAACCCUGAGUUUUCUAGAUCCUUUGCCUUAAGACCAACCCAUUUAGUUUCUUGUAGGCACAUAAUAUUUAUCCUUCUCCUCAUCAUAACUUCCACUACUUCCAUAGAUUUUCCCGUUAAGGUUCCUAUAUUCCACGUUCCUAAACGCAUUCUACUCUCUUGAACUCUACCCUUCUGUCCUAGCUUCUUCACCCUCCCUCGUCCAAUAGGAUCAAAGUACUUCUUUUG